AAGCAUGGGUUAGGUUGGGAGGUUUAGGUAGCAAACAAAUUUAGGUUGUUUAGGUUUAAGAAAACUGUGUUUGUGUGCAGGCUUAGAAACAUUGGCAAUGAAGCUCAAAUUUUUAAAUCAUUGAGGGAGUGUUUGGAGGAGGAAAAGGAAAGGAAAGGAAAUGACUAAAAUAGUUCUUUCCAUGUUUAGGGCAAGGAUUAGGGGCAGAGGUCUCUUUUUCCCAAUCCGUGGGUUAUCCUCCUUUCUCUUCGUUGUGCCAUCCAUCUUCCUCAUUCCCUUCUCCAUUUUGGUCGUUGAUCUACAAGUUUCCUAUCAAAUAUGGCCACUCAUCUACUCCAUCAAUCUCGAUCUCCUUCCCAUUUACCCCCUUCGACCGUUUUGAAUUUUUCUCCACCAUUAAACGGUACAUAUUCAACCGGUUUAUCUUCCUACAUUUUUUCUGUACCGAUUCAGUACUAUCCCUCUUCUACUUCGGUCUCCGUCUUCCACUGUGGUUUUAGGUUUCGUUGAUUGGCCCCAUUUCAAAAAAAUUUGGGACCUUUAAAGCCUUCCCGUCGGUUGGGGUUUCGUUGACUGGGCUUUUUGGUUCUUUGCAUGACUUGUCUUCUAGACUUGGCACUUGAAGCUCCAUAAUAUGCUUGCUUGGUAUUUCCCUUGCUGCUCGGAUUACAUCAUUGCCGCUCUGAAUUUGUUACACUGAUGAGUGAUGGAUACUACCUCGUUGUGGCUUUGUUGGUUCCUAGCAAAGUAGGGCUUGAGGUAACGAUUUUUUUUAAGUCGAUGAUGAGGUUCAAACACUGAUUACAUUCUUAAACGAUUUGUGUGUUCUUAUGCAAUUUUUGUUAUGCUUUGUGAUAUCCUGUUUCUUGAUCGAUUUGUAUUUUUUUAAGUACUUUUUUUUUUCCAAAUGGGUUGAAUACGUAUGUGCGUCUAUGAUGAAAGUUGUCUUAUUUCAAAACCAUUUUCCCCAUUAAUCUGUUAAUUAUGUCCCUUUCUGUGCAUUUUAUAGAAAUCGGCCAUGUUGAUUUUUUUGUGUUGAAUUUAACUUCAUUAAUUUGUACUACUGUUGGAUGGUUUCUAUGCAUUUUAUAUACACUGGUCAUGUUGAAUUUCUUUUUCCUAAAGACUUAACUUAUGGGUAGUAGGGUUGGAGGGUUACGUAUGGCUACUUCUUUGACCAUAUUUUCUUUUUCUUUCUCCCUAACCUCUAUUGUCUCUCUCUAACCUGUUUUGUCUGCUGUUGUUUUAUUCUUCUUUGACCAUAUUUUGAUUUCCCUGUGUUGUCUACUUCAUGCAUCACAUUGAUAUUUGAAAUUAUUUAUUUAGUAUGAGUAUUUAAUGGAGCAUUAACUAUUGACAUACAUUCCCCCAUAUAUACAUUAUUCGUAUUUGGCAUCCAUGGUAUCAUGUUUUCCCAUUCCAUAUUCAUUUCCAUGCCUUUCAUGCCACCACAUUUGACCGUAGUGUUAGAUUCCACUUAUUAAUUUCUCCAUUUAUUGUGUUCGUGUCAUGCCUUUCAUAACCUCACAUUUAGUGACAUUGCAUAUGUAACGAUUCUUUCAUAUACUUAUGAAGUUCAAUUUCAAUAUAUUGAACAAACAUCAUUCCUUUGAGGUACAACAAAAAAAAAAAACAUUUGAAAAGUAUUUCACUUUAUAUUUUUUGUUUCCUCGUAACUGUUAACAGUUUGUUCUUUGUCAUGCAUACAUGUUGUUAGGUCCGUAUUCAAAGAUUUGCAUUCACGUCCUUUCCACGCAUCAACUGUGGUUUAUUUAUGGCCCUAACAUAUGUUUGUUGGUUCUCUUUUGCAAUAUGUCCGAGUACGUAACACGAUUUAUCUCGAGGCCAAAUUGAAGUGGUGAAAGCAUAUAACCUCGGGGGAUCGAGUUACUAACUUGCCACCUAUGGUUGUCAAGGGAUUCUGGGGAGAAAAGUGAUCGUGAUCGGAGAUCCGAAAACCUGAGCCUAGGUGAGGACAUGGAUGGAGGAUUUUGAUGUGGCUUCGAGCCUAGCUUAACCCAUGGUGGGUGGCCCUAUGUGCACAUAGGAGCAAAUAUGGGGUUGUUACCGUGGUAGGUGCUAAGUAUGCCGUUUGGCCACGUGUUUCCUUGUAGAUAUGGAUCACAUGUGAGCUAUUCCAGGUCGUAUAUUUAGUAUGCUAUCAUGGUUGGAUUGGAUGGAGAUUGUUGCUGUGUAGGUGCUAAGUAUGUGUGAGGUCCAUUUGGACGCGUGUUUCCUUGUGGAUAUGGAUCAUGCGCGAGCUAUUUCGGGUUGUGUAUUUAGUAUGCUAUCAUGGUUGGAUUGGAUGGAGGUUGCUAUCGGGGUAGCGAUCAAGGACCAAGCAUUGGUUGAUCCAUUGUCAUCUUUUGUAGAUCUUCAUUUUGUAUGUAUAUAGUUAACUUUUGUACUGCAUCAUGGGGUGGUUAGAUGUAGCGAGAGAGACGCCAGGAACUCGUGUUUUGAGAGAUCCCUUAUUAGACUAAAAUCGUUUUGUAUGUAUUAUCUACUUUGAAUUUUAACGCUGCUUGAAACUUUGGAAUGGUCUGGAUGAGUGUAUGGUGAGACACACUUGUUGUGAUGUGGAAUAUGAAGUUUGCUUAUAUACAUAUAGAAGUGAAAAUUUCUUCUUUUUUA